rnacentral:rRNA from 1 species
AUAUCAAUAAGCGGAGGAAAAGAAACCAACAGGGAUUGCCCUAGUAACGGCGAGUGAAGCGGCAAUAGCUCAAAUUUGAAAGCUGGCCUUCUGGUCCGCAUUGUAAUUUGUAGAGGAUGCUUUUAGGCAGCCGCCGGUCUAAGUUCCUUGGAACAGGACGUCAUAGAGGGUGAGAAUCCCGUAUGUGACCGGCUCUGGCACCUUCUGUAAAGCUCCUUCGACGAGUCGAGUUGUUUGGGAAUGCAGCUCUAAAUGGGAGGUAAAUUUCUUCUAAAGCUAAAUACUGGCGAGAGACCGAUAGCGCACAAGUAGAGUGAUCGAAAGAUGAAAAGCACUUUGGAAAGAGAGUUAAAAAGCAC